rnacentral:rRNA from 1 species
AUGCCACGUGCUGAUGGUCCCUUUAAGGUGUUGGAGAAAAUAAAUGAUAAUGCAUAUAAACUUGAGCUGCCUGCAGAUUUUGGGGUUAGUCCCACUUUUAACAUUGCAGAUUUGAAGCCUUAUUUGGGUGAGGAAGAUGAACUUCCGUCGAGGACGACUUCAUUUCAAGAUGGGGAGGAUGAUGAGGACAUCAAGACCAUUGUUACACCCACAGCCCCUGCUGCUAUACAUACUGGACCAAUUACUAGAGCUCGCGCACGCCAACUAAAUUACCAGGUACUUUCGUUUCUUGGUAAUGAUUCUAAUGUUCAUGAGAACAUGAUGCUGCCUAAAUUGGAUACAUUUGUUUUGCUUACAAAUGAAGGGCCUAGCUUGGAGAAGGAUGAACAUUGGAGC